rnacentral:rRNA from 1 species
GUAUCAUGGCUCAGGAUGAACGCUAGCUACAGGCUUAACACAUGCAAGUCGAGGGGCAGCAUGGUCUUAGCUUGCUAAGGCUGAUGGCGACCGGCGCACGGGUGAGUAACACGUAUCCAACCUGCCGUCUACUCUUGGACAGCCUUCUGAAAGGAAGAUUAAUACAAGAUGGCAUCAUGAGUCCGCAUGUUCACAUGAUUAAAGGUAUUCCGGUAGACGAUGGGG